rnacentral:rRNA from 1 species
UACGAAGGGGGCUAGCGUUGCUCGGAAUCACUGGGCGUAAAGGGUGCGUAGGCGGAUCUUUAAGUCAGGGGUGAAAUCCUGGAGCUCAACUCCAGAACUGCCUUUGAUACUGAGGAUCUCGAGUUCGGGAGAGGUGAGUGGAACUGCGAGUGUAGAGGUGAAAUUCGUAGAUAUUCGCAAGAACACCAGUGGCGAAGGCGGCUCACUGGCCCGAUACUGACGCUGAGGCACGAAAGCGUGGGGAGCAAACAGG